GCCGAGAUAGCUCAGUCGGUAGAGCGCGGGACUGAAAAUCCCGGCGUCCCCGGUUCAAUUCCGGGUCUCGGCA
rnacentral:tRNA from 1 species